rnacentral:misc_RNA from 1 species
GAUGAAGAACGUAGCGAAAUGCGAUAAGUAAUGUGAAUUGCAGAAUUCAGUGAAUCAUCGAAUCUUUGAACGCACAUUGCGCCCCCUGGUAUUCCGGGGGGCAUGCCUGUUCGAGCGUCAUUUCACCACUCAAGCCUCGCUUGGUAUUGGGCAACGCGGUCCGCCGCGUGCCUCAAAUCGACCGGCUGGGUCUUCUGUCCCCUAAGCGUUGUGGAAACUUUCGCUAAAGGGUGUUCGGGAGGCUACGCCGUAAAACAACCCCAUUUCUAAGGUUGACCUCGGAUCAGGUAGGGAUACCCGCUGAACUUAAGCAUAUCAAAAGCGGAGGA